GUCCUAUGGAGGAGGCAGCAGAGACUCUGCUCUCCUCGUUUGGAUUAAUUCUGAUAUAAUAACUGUUGGUUUAUUUAUCGGUGCAGCAGCAGAACAUUUUCCACAGACAGUUUUCCUGCCCGUUGGCUUGUUUUAACCAGUUUUCUACCUUUGGCUGAUUCUACCAGCAGACACUGAAAGGACUCUGAUAGUUCGGUGUCUCAUGUUCACUGUGAGGAUCUUCUGAGUGAAGCCAACAGAAGGAAAACCUCAUCUGGAUGUGAAGAAGGAGACUGAAUGGACGACAUCCUCAGUGAACCACUUCCUGUUUAACUUUCACUUACAGAAGAGUGAAAGUAGCAGUUCCUCCUGAAGGUCAGAGAUUGCAGCAACCGAGGGCCUCUUCAAAAGAAGAUGUAGUUGAUGAAGGCGUUCUGGAGCAGGACCAGAAAGACCACGACCAAGCAGCCUUGAGAUCUUAGACAGCGUCUCCCUCAGGUCCCUCUCUAUCUCCCCACACAUCCACCAACCACUGGAACACAUCUCCAAAGUUCUGCUGGACCAGCU
ensembl:lncRNA